CGCUCCCGCCGCCGGGCGGGGGCGGACGGGGCCGGCCGUGGGGCGGGGAGCUGCGGCCGAGCUGAGCCGCAGUGGACGCGGUGAAAGGAGCGGCCCUGCGGGGGGGUCCUGCGGAGUCUCCCGCCCUUGCCCUGCGUGGGAGACGGGCCCGGCCCCGCCUGCUGCGGAAGCUGGGCGAGGUUCCCCUUCUGCCCACGGCGCUUACCUCACCUCACUUCCCUCUUCAGCCUACCUGUUACCAGCUCCAGCCCGCCUCAGCUACCGCACCUCAGUUCCCCUCUCAGCCUACCUCAUUGCCCCCUCAGCCCACCUCAGUUCUCCCAUGUGGGGCAUGCCUCAGGCCUCAUUAGCGCAGAGCGGAGCGUUGAGAGGAGGUCUUCUGCAAAUGGCCCAGGAAUAAAGCAGGAGGGUCGCUUACUGUUGCAGCCUUAGGGGCAGGGCAGCAGAGGAAGCGGUUUGUGGUGCCUUGAGGCGGUCACAGAAUCACACCCACAGCAGAGUGAGGGGUGGAAGGGACCUCUAGAGAUCAGCUGUUCCAACCUACAGGUUGUCCAGGAUCACAAUGCCCGGGUAGGUUUGGAAACUCUUCUGGGGAGACUCCAACACCUUCUGGGCAGUCAGACUUGCCAUAGGAAGCACUGCCCUUGGCAGCCAGCAGCCUAAGGCACGAAGCAGAGGACACCCCAGCACAGCCACGGCAGAGCAGCCGCCGCUCCCCUGGAGGGGAUUCUGGAAACUGAACAGAAGGCUACUGUGUUGUGAGUCCUGCUCAAGACCCAUGCCAUGGUGUGCUCCACAGUGCAGACCACACCAGGUCUUCAUAAACCAGCCUUUAUGCAGUGCAGUCUGCAAGCACAAUGCCAAAUCAAAGUUUUGUACCCCGAACCAUAAAGAAGAAAAGGAUUGGCAGUGUCUCUCUUCAGUUGCACUGUGGUUAAAACUAAGAGUUAAAAACUGCUCGAGAGAUUUCUGUAAUAAACGGAAGGAAUUUGGUUUGGGUUGGGUUUCUUUUUUUUUUGCAUAGGCAGAAUGCAAAACUUAAUUAUCAACCAAAGUUCCAUUCUGCCUUUCUCUCUGGAGGCUUUUGAGAGACCUUCUAGCAGCCUGCCAGUAUUUGAA